CCUACGGGAUGCAGCAGUGGGGAAUAUUGGACAAUGGGCGAAAGCCUGAUCCAGCAAUGCCGCGUGUGUGAAGAAGGUCUUCGGAUUGUAAAGCACUUUCGACGGGGACGACGAUGACGGUACCCGUAGAAGAAGCCCCGGCUAACUUCGUGCCAGCAGCCGCGGUAAUACGAAGGGGGCUAGCGUUGCUCGGAAUGACUGGGCGUAAAGGGCGCGUAGGCGGUUUAUGCAGUCAGAUGUGAAAUCCCCGGGCUUAACCUGGGAACUGCAUUUGAGACGCAUAGACUAGAGGUCGAGAGAGGGUUGUGGAAUUCCCAGUGUAGAGGUGAAAUUCGUAGAUAUUGGGAAGAACACCGGUGGCGAAGGCGGCAACCUGGCUCGAUACUGACGCUGAGGCGCGAAAGCGUGGGGAGCAAACAGGAUUAGAUACCCGUGUAGUC
rnacentral:rRNA from 1 species